GAUCCUGGCUUAGGAUGAACGCUAGCGACAGGCUUAACACAUGCAAGUCGAGGGGCAGCAUAAUUUGUAGCAAUACAGAUUGAUGGCGACCGGCGCACGGGUGAGUAACGCGUAUGCAACUUACCUAUCAGAGGGGGAUAGCCCGGCGAAAGUCGGAUUAAUACCCCAUAAAACAGGGGUCCCGCAUGGGAAUAUUUGUUAAAAAUUCAUCGCUGAUAGAUAGGCAUGCGUUCCAUUAGG
rnacentral:rRNA from 1 species